rnacentral:rRNA from 1 species
GAAUUCGCCCUUAGAGUUUGAUCCUGGCUCAGGACCAAUGCUGGCGGCGCGCCUAACACAUGCAAGUCGAACGAGCGAGAGAGAGCUUGCUUUCUCAAGCGAGUGGCGAACGGGUGAGUAACGCGUGAGGAACCUGCCUCAAAGAGGGGGACAACAGUUGGAAACGACUGCUAAUACCGCAUAAGCCCACGGCUCGGCAUCGAGCAGAGGGAAAAGGAGCAAUCCGCUUUGAGAUGGCCUCGCGUCCGAUUAGCUAGUUGGUGAGGUAACGGCCCACCAAGGCGACGAUCGGUAGCCGGACUGAGAGGUUGAACGGCCACAUUGGGACUGAGACACGGCCCAGACUCCUACGGGAGGCAGCAGUGGGGAAUAUUGCACAAUGGGGGAAACCCUGAUGCAGCGACGCCGCGUGGAGGAAGAAGGUCUUCGGAUUGUAAACUCCUGUUGUUGAGGAAGAUAAUGACGGUACUCAACAAGGAAGUGACGGCUAACUACGUGCCAGCAGCCGCGGUAAAACGUAGGUCACAAGCGUUGUCCGGAAUUACUGGGUGUAAAGGGAGCGCAGGCGGGAAGACAAGUUGGAAGUGAAAUCCAUGGGCUCAACCCAUGAACUGCUUUCAAAACUGUUUUUCUUGAGUAGUGCAGAGGUAGGCGGAAUUCCCGGUGUAGCGGUGGAAUGCGUAGAUAUCGGGAGGAACACCAGUGGCGAAGGCGGCCUACUGGGCACCAACUGACGCUGAGGCUCGAAAGUGUGGGUAGCAAACAGGAUUAGAUACCCUGGUAGUCCACACUGUAAACGAUGAUUACUAGGUGUUGGAGGAUUGACCCCUUCAGUGCCGCAGUUAACACAAUAAGUAAUCCACCUGGGGAGUACGACCGCAAGGUUGAAACUCAAAGGAAUUGACGGGGGCCCGCACAAGCAGUGGAGUAUGUGGUUUAAUUCGAAGCAACGCGAAGAACCUUACCAGGUCUUGACAUCCUACUAACGAGAUAGAGAUAUGUUAGGUGCCCUUCGGGGAAAGUAGAGACAGGUGGUGCAUGGUUGUCGUCAGCUCGUGUCGUGAGAUGUUGGGUUAAGUCCCGCAACGAGCGCAACCCUUGCUAUUAGUUGCUACGCAAGAGCACUCUAAUAGGACUGCCGUUGACAAAACGGAGGAAGGUGGGGACGACGUCAAAUCAUCAUGCCCCUUAUGACCUGGGCUACACACGUACUACAAUGGACAUUAACAGAGGGAAGCAAUACAGUGAUGUGGAGCAAACCCCUAAAAAUGUUCUCAGUUCAGAUUGCAGGCUGCAACCCGCCUGUAUGAAGAUGGAAUUGCUAGUAAUCGCAGAUCAGCAUGCUGCGGUGAAUACGUUCCCGGGCCUUGCACACACCGCCCGUCA